AUUGAACGCUGGCGGCAUGCCUUACACAUGCAAGUCGAACGGCAGCACGGGGCAACCUUGGUGGCGAGUGGCGAACGGGUGAGUAAAGCAUCGGAACGUGCCCUGGAGUGGGGGAUAACGUAGCGAAAGUUACGCUAAUACCGCAUAUUCUGUGAGCAGGAAAGCAGGGGAUCGCAAGACCUUGCGCUCUGGGAGCGGCCGAUGUCGGAUUAGCUAGUUGGUGAGGUAAAGGCUCACCAAGGCGACGAUCCGUAGCGGGUCUGAGAGGAUGAUCCGCCACACUGGGACUGAGACACGGCCCAGACUCCUACGGGAGGCAGCAGUGGGGAAUUUUGGACAAUGGGCGCAAGCCUGAUCCAGCCAUGCCGCGUGAGUGAAGAAGGCCUUCGGGUUGU
rnacentral:rRNA from 1 species